rnacentral:rRNA from 1 species
CCUACGGGAGGCAGCAGUGGGGAAUUUUGGACAAUGGGCGCAAGCCUGAUCCAGCAAUGCCGCGUGCAGGAAGAAGGCCUUCGGGUUGUAAACUGCUUUUGUCAGGGAAGAAAUCUUCUGGGCUAAUACCCCGGGAGGAUGACGGUACCUGAAGAAUAAGCACCGGCUAACUACGUGCCAGCAGCCGCGGUA